rnacentral:rRNA from 1 species
UACGUAGGUGGCAAGCGUUGUCCGGAAUUAUUGGGCGUAAAGAGCUUGUAGGCGGUUUGUCGCGUCUGCUGUGAAAAUCCGGGGCUCAACCCCGGACUUGCAGUGGGUACGGGCAGACUGGAGUGUGGUAGGGGAGACUGGAAUUCCUGGUGUAGCGGUGGAAUGCGCAGAUAUCAGGAGGAACACCGAUGGCGAAGGCAGGUCUCUGGGCCACUACUGACGCUGAGAAGCGAAAGCAUGGGGAGCGAACAGG